UUCGUUGAAUAUAAACUGGUUUAGCAUGGCCAGUUGGGUUUAAUAGGUUUCAAGGUAUUUUAAUAGCGUUGUAGAGCCUAUUUCGUUCGUUACGUAUUAAGAAGACUACAGUAGCACAAUAUUAGGAGCAUUGGUUUAGUUUAAUAAAAAGCGAAAUGAAAAAAUUUAUUUUCAAGUUUUCAAGUAAAACUUGAUAAUAAAAAAUGUUGCAAAGGAAUUCUAUACACGUUAUUCAAGAAUUAUAGUAUAUUAACUUUUGCCAUGGAUUAUAUACUCACUUAGUUUCAGUAUUACAUUUUGCUUUAUGUACCAUAUAUUUAUAAAACUCAACCAAACUAACACAAAUCACUAUAUCAACAAUUAUAGUGAUGAGAUAACAGCAGUGGAGAGGUUGCAAGGCUUCAUACCAUUGUAGAAUCUCCAAAUUGAGGUCUUGUUUGGCGACAUCAUGAAAGGGACACAUUCCAACAAUAAUACUAAAGAACAAUACAAUACAACAUACCACUUCUUCAGAACUUUGAAGACAGCAUACCUCUACUUCUAUUGACAGUAAUUAACGCUGAAGGCGGCAACAGUAAAUAUUGAAGCUCUUCUAGGAAGGUACAUAUUUAAAGAUUUCUGAAAUUUAAAAAUAAAAUUAAGACUCCAUUGUGACGUCAUUUCCGGUUACCACUCGGAAAAAAGGUGCGUCCGCGUUGUCAGCAUCCUGACAGGAUCAUCCAAAAUGAAAAAACAAAAAGUGUUUUAGUUGUAAUUGUGCAAAAUGUCAUCAAGAUCGGAACAUCCGACAACCGACUUUGAAGACACGGUUCCGUUUAAAGUUUUGAGUAACAAUAAUACCUGACAUGGAGCGCACACCUUCCAAAGGCUGUUUCUCCGAAACUAUUUUUCAUGUCGAUGGAAAAUUUAGGAUAAUAUUCUUGAGAUGUUGUAGAAAUUAAUGAGCCAGAAAACAAAAAAUCGAUUUUUUGAAUCCACGAAACCCAGAUGGCGCCAUUGUUACCGUAUAAAAGACGUCUAAUGCCUAAUGCUUACAAUGUACGACAAAAAAAGCUCAAGAAACCAUGGACCAGCAUAGUGACACACAUGUAGUAUUGUACUAUGUUUACAUCCAUCAGCAGAUAGAAAUAAAUUCAAGCAAAAUAUAAUUAUGAAGAACAGGCAGGACAAUUGAUCCUGGCUUAGUCAUAACUUCAAUCAAUCGCAAAAUAUCAUUGUCCAUUAUAAUUACACAACAUAUUUUUCACAUUAUUUUUUCAAAUCUUCGGCCGCGCUCAAAACAAAAAUAACCCUGGUCGAGCCAAAACCGGGCAUUAUCAAA